GUGGAAUCCACAAACAAUUCACAUAAUCUAACACGCAUAUGUAUAAUGCAGAGCAGAAAUACUAUAUACCUGGAGAUAAUCGCUCUUUGUAUAGGGACGCCGAUAGGGAGAUUCGUUGACUUCCUUCAGUCCAGCAUACAUUGCCGGUCGAAAUGGACGUAUCUUUUUUUGUGACCAGUUUGAUUGUUCUCCUGCUGUGCGUGGAAUAUCUAUUGGCCCAAUCCUCCACGGAAAGCACGUAUUUUGACCAGACUAAGGCUAAUUCUGACCCUGAGAAUGCAACUGAUCAGACCGCAGUUGGAGGAUGUAAUAAUCCCUUUUGCAGAUCGGGAUAAUUGUGAGCUUUGAAAGGGCUCUUUUUGUGAAUUUGACCUUUUAAACUAUAUUUGCUUGUCAGAGAGUACCCAUAAAUGCCAGUCUUGAUUAUUUCGUCGCUCGCCAUGGACCUUUUAUUUCUUGUGACCUAUUCGAUCGUGUUCCUGCUGUGCGUGGGACACCUUUUGGCUCAACCCACCGAGAAAACACUGGAUUUCAACAUCACGAGAAUGGAUCUUACCCCUGAGAAUGGCACCUUUCAUGGCGUUUUCUCUAUUUGUAGUCAUCCCUUCGGAUGUUAAAUAUUAUAUCAGAACCCAACCGUAAUUUGAUUUUUAUUUUUAUGAAAUAAAAGUGGAAUCUACGUGGCCCCGUGAA